CGUAAAAAUUAAAAAUACUAUUUAACAUUAAAUUUAAUUCUGAAGUUUUGGCAAAAAUUGUUUGCUGACACCGAAAAUGUGUUUGGCAUACACAUUUUGUAGGUUAAGGUUGAUCCGUUCAACUAUCAUGUCUAUAGGUACAUACGAACACGUCAUACAACUUGCUUAAGUGAAACAUUGUAAUUUUGGAUUCGGAUCGGAACAAUAUGAAUGUUUAGGAUUCACAUUGAUUCGUAAGGCGUACCAACCUAACUAUAUUUAUUUAUACACAGACGAAGCGAAUAACGAUUAUAAAUGGACAAUGGCGACUGGCGACUAUUUAACGUCUGACAAGUAAACUGUGGGCGAUUGAUUCUCUAUACGGAUGUAUCACGUACAACGACGUGCGUACAAUGACGUCCACGGGGGAAUCACGAAUGGACAUUUGCCGGCUUCACUCUCUCCUUAGUCCCUGCCGUCCUGCCGAGUACCGUCACACUAUUUUCUGGAUAUUUAGGUGUAUCUACUAUCUAUGUACUAUAUAUGUCGAUGAGAGAUCAGCUGCAGUACGGCGGAUGCGCGCGACGUUAUUUCGGGCCGUUUCCAUCGCGAUAUCGCCGAAACGGUGACGUCUGUCGCGGCGCUGACGUCCGGAAAACCGAAAACGAAUAUUAACGGCGGACGUGGACGUGACGACAAACGACGCAGCACGCACUACGCAGACGCCUGACGCCUCGGUCGCACAGACGCCGUCACUACGUCAGAGUGACAGAGUAUCAGACACGCCGUACACGGGCGCAGGACGGAAGUGGUGUGACGGCGGCGCGGCGGUGCUUCUUUCCGUUGACCGCACGCGGGGUCGACCGCGGUCCGCGGUUACAGACUCGCGUAAACCGUGCUUACGUGGACGCUACACCUGUCUCCGUCUUACAAAUCUAAAACAUAGUAAAAACUGAUUUCCACGGGAAAGCAGGGUCGGAUUGGUUAGGCUAGGGCACUAUAGAUACAGGUAUGCUACGCCGCCAUUUUGCGACUAAUAAUGUUAUGCGAAUUUGAAUUUCUCCCCCUUUAUUUUAUCAUUGAUAAAUGAGUCGCAAAAUGGUGGCAUAGUACACCCAUUCUAUGUAGAGCCUUAGUUAGACGAGCUACCGAGAAAAUCUCGGUGGGCCGCUUAAUGUUUUGGCCGGUCGUGUGAGUGUUGAGUGAAAAUAAAUUCAUGUUUAAAAUACUAAUUUUGGAAAUUUUAUCGUGUAUAGAAAAUGCAAAUACAAAGACCAGUAAAAUUGUA